CAAUAGCGUAUAUUUAAGUUGCUGCAGUUAAAAAGCUCGUAGUUGGAUUUCGGGUGGGAAUGGCCGGUCCGCCGUUUCGGUGUGCACUUGCUACGCCCACCUUGCUGCCGGGGACGUGCUCUUGAGUUCACGCUCGGGACACGGAGUCGGCGAGGUUACUUUGAGUAAAUUAGAAUGUUCAAAGUAGGCCUACGCUCUGAAUACAUUAGCAUGGAAUAACACGAUAGGACUCUGGCCUAUCUUGUUGGUCUGUAGGACCGGAGUAAUGAUUAAGAGGGACAGUCGGGGGCAUUCGUAUUUCAUUGUCAGAGGUGAAAUUCUUGGAUUUAUGAAAGACGAACUACUGCGAAAGCAUUUGCCAAGGAUGUUUUCAUUAA
rnacentral:rRNA from 1 species